rnacentral:rRNA from 1 species
CAGUCGCCGCGGUAAUACAGAGGGUGCGAGCGUUAAUCGGAUUUACUGGGCGUAAAGCGUGCGUAGGCGGCUUUUUAAGUCGGAUGUGAAAUCCCUGAGCUUAACUUAGGAAUUGCAUUCGAUACUGGGAAGCUAGAGUAUGGGAGAGGAUGGUAGAAUUCCAGGUGUAGCGGUGAAAUGCGUAGAGAUCUGGAGGAAUACCGAUGGCGAAGGCAGCCAUCUGGCCUAAUACUGACGCUGAGGUACGAAAGCAUGGGGAGCAAACAGGAUUAGAUACCCCGGUAGUCCCUGUCUCUUAUCA